CAGUAGCCGCGGGAAUACAGAGGGUGCGAGCGUUAAUCGGAUUUACUGGGCGUAAAGCGUGCGUAGGCGGCUUCUUAAGUCGGAUGUGAAAUCCCUGAGCUUAACUUAGGAAUUGCAUUCGAUACUGGGAAGCUAGAGUAUGGGAGAGGAUGGUAGAAUUCCAGGUGUAGCGGUGAAAUUUGUAGAGAUCUGGAGGAAUACCGAUGGCGAAGGCAGCCAUCUGGCCUAAUACUGACGCUGAGGUACGAAAGCAUGGGGAGCAAACAGGAUUAGAUACCCGUGUAGUCCCUGUCUCUUAUAC
rnacentral:rRNA from 1 species